GAUGAAGAACGUAGCGAAAUGCUAUAAGUAAUGUGAAUUGCAGAAUUCAGUGAAUCAUCGAAUCUUUGAACGCACAUUGCGCCCGCCAGUAUUCUGGCGGGCAUGCCUGUUCGAGCGUCAUUUCAACCAUCAAGCCCCAGGCUUGUGUUGGGGGCCUGCAGCUGCUGCAGCCCCCUAAAAGCAGUGGCGGACUCGCUGUCAUACCGAGCGCAGUAGUUACAUCUCGCUCUGGGCAUGGCGGCGGGCACCUGCCGUAAAACACUCUUUCUAAGGUUGACCUCGGAUCAGGUAGGAAUACCCGCUGAACUUAAGCAUAUCAAUAAGCGGAGGA
rnacentral:misc_RNA from 1 species